rnacentral:sRNA from 1 species
GACCACUGAGCCAAACAUCCCCUUCUUGGUUGAGUU